rnacentral:pre_miRNA from 1 species
UGGACAGAUUAUUGUAUUCGACUGUAUUCACGGCAUGAAACAGGGGAUUACACUGUUUUUAAACGGAAAGUGAAUCAAUUAACAUAAUAGACUCCU